rnacentral:rRNA from 1 species
CAAAGGAAUUGACGGGGAGCACCACAACAGGUGGAGCCUGCGGUUAAUCGGACUCAACGCCGGGAAGCUCACCGGAUAAGACAGCGGAAUGAUAGCCGGGCUGAAGACUCUGCUUGACUAGCUGAGAGGAGGUGCAUGGCCGUCGUCAGUUCGUACUGUGAAGCAUCCUGUUAAGUCAGGCAACGAGCGAGACCCACGCCCACAGUUGCCAGCGUACUCUCUGGAGUGACGGGUACACUGUGGGGACCGCCGCUGCUAAAGCGGAGGAAGGAAUGGGCAACGGUAGGUCAGUAUGCCCCGAAUAUCCCGGGCUACACGCGAGCUACAAUGGUUGGUACAAUGGGUAUCUACCCCGAAAGGGGACGGGAAUCUCCUAAAACCAAUCUUAGUUCGGAUUGAGGGCUGCAACUCGCCCUCAUGAAGCUGGAAUCCGUAGUAAUCGCGUCUCAAAAUGGCGCGGUGAAUAUGUCCCUGCUCCUU